CAAUAGCGUAUAUUAAAGUUGUUGCAGUUAAAAAGCUCGUAGUUGGAUUUCGGGGCAGCCUGGCUGGUCCGCCGCAAGGCGAGUACUGGUCAGCCGCCCUUCCUCUCGAAAGCCCCGACUGCUCUUCGUUGCAGUGGUCGGGUAGUUCGGGACGUUUACUUUGAAAAAAUUAGAGUGUUCAAGGCAGGCCUACGCCUGAAUACAUUAGCAUGGAAUAAUGGAAGAGGACCUCGGUCCUAUUUUGUUGGUUUCCAGGGCCGAAGUAAUGAUUAAGAGGGACAGUUGGGGGCAUUCGUAUUUAAUUGUCAGAGGUGAAAUUCUCGGAUUUAUGGAAGACGAACAACUGCGAAAGCGUUUGCCAAGGAUGUUUUCAUUAA
rnacentral:rRNA from 1 species